UACGUAGGCAGCGAGCGUUGUUCGGAGUUACUGGGCGUAAAGGGUGUGUAGGCGGUUGUUUAAGUUUGGUGUGAAAUCUCCCGGCUCAACUGGGAGGGUGCGCCGAAUACUGAAUGACUUGGAGUGCGGGAGAGGAAAGUGGAAUUCCUGGUGUAGCGGUGAAAUGCGUAGAUAUCAGGAGGAACACCGGUGGUGUAGACGGCUUUCUGGACCGUAACCGACGCUGAGACACGAAAGCGUGGGUAGCAAACAGG
rnacentral:rRNA from 1 species